rnacentral:rRNA from 1 species
GUGGGGAAUCUUAGACAAUGGGCGCAAGCCUGAUCUAGCCAUGCCGCGUGAGUGAUGAAGGCCCUAGGGUUGUAAAGCUCUUUCAGCUGGGAAGAUAAUGACGGUACCAGCAGAAGAAGCCCCGGCUAACUCCGUGCCAGCAGCCGCGGUAAUACGGAGGGGGCUAGCGUUGUUCGGAAUUACUGGGCGUAAAGCGCGCGUAGGCGGACUGAAAAGUUGGGGGUGAACUCCCGGGGCUCAACGUCGGAAAUGCCUUCAAAACUAUCAGUCUGGAGUUCGAGAGAUGUGAGUGGAAUUCCGAGUGUAGAGGUGAAAUUCGUAGAUAUUCGGAGGAACACCAGUAGCGAAGGCGGCUCACUGUCUCGAUACUGACGCUGAGGUGCGAAAGCGUGGGGAGCAAACAGGAUUAGAAACCCGUGUAGUCC